rnacentral:rRNA from 1 species
GUGCUUGCACUAAGUAAGAGGAGUUGCGAACGGGUGAGUAACGCGUAGGUAACCUACCUUAUAGCGGGGGAUAACUAUUGGAAACGAUAGCUAAUACCGCAUAAGAAGAGUUAACACAUGUUAAUUCUUUAAAAGGGGCAAUUGCUCCACUAUGAGAUGGACCUGCGUUGUAUUAGCUAGUUGGUGAGGUAACGGCUCACCAAGGCAACGAUACAUAGCCGACCUGAGAGGGUGAUCGGCCACACUGGGACUGAGACACGGCCCAGACUCCUACGGGAGGCAGCAGUAGGGAAUCUUCGGCAAUGGACGAAAGUCUGACCGAGCAACGCCGCGUGAGUGAAGAA